CGCAGGCUUAAUCGUCCCGUAGACUCUUGGAGUUGGGGACUUGGGGCAGUUGUAAGUGGUUGGGGAAGGUGGUGGUGGGGACGGGGGCACAGACUGCGGUGGAGGGGGGAUGUCCUCAGAGGUGUCCGGCAUGGACAGGCUUCUGGUGAACUUCAGCAUUGGAGGAGCCAGAAACUGCCGCUCUUCCUCUGUUAUUCCUACAAGCAGAAAACAGGUUUAGCUUUAAGUCACAAUAGCAACAAAGCCUAAGUUCCUAGGAACGUGCGAUACGCUACAUCUCCACAAACUCACAAAUUCAGAUGAUGAACCGGAUGUUCAGGAAACACAGCACAAGCCACGAUGCCGAGUGGUUAGUCACAUGGCCCGUCGUGAGCCAAAGGACAAGAAAGGGAAGAACAGAAAGGCACUGGGGAUGCUGUGUGACUUUACAGACUGUUCAACAGCUGAAGACACAGACACGUCAACAGGAGCACUUGGAGAAGGGAAGCGAGACACGCACACACACCGACAGACGCGUGGCACAGGGAUUUCAUGUUGGGAGCAUGCAGG
rnacentral:lncRNA from 1 species